rnacentral:rRNA from 1 species
UACGAAGGGGGCGAGCGUUGUUCGGAUUUACUGGGCGUAAAGGGCGCGCAGGCGGUCUUGAAAGUCAGGCGUGAAAGCCCCCGGGCUUAACCUGGGAAUUGCGCUUGAUACUCUGAGACUGGAGUACGGGAGAGGAGAGUGGAAUUCCCAGUGUAGAGGUGAAAUUCGUAGAUAUUGGGAAGAACACCAGUGGCGAAGGCGGCUCUCUGGACCGUAACUGACGCUGAGGCGCGAAAGCGUGGGGAGCAAACAGG